rnacentral:rRNA from 1 species
UACGUAGGGGGCAAGCGUUGUCCGGAAUCAUUGGGCGUAAAGAGCGUGUAGGCGGCCCGAUAAGUCCGCUGUGAAAGUCCAGGGCUCAACCCUGGAAUGCCAGUGGAAACUGUCGGGCUGGAGUCCGGAAGAGGCGAGUGGAAUUCCUGGUGUAGCUGUGAAAUGCGCAGAUAUCAGGAGGAACACCAAUGGCGAAGGCAGCUCGCUGGGACGGUACUGACGCUGAGACGCGAAAGCGUGGGGAGCAAACAGG